ensembl:lncRNA
GUUUACUUCAGGAUGAUUGCAUUGAAGGCCUCAUGGUAAAAGUCACGGCCCGCCACAGCUAGAGAGGCUGCUGAUAAUAAUCAGCCUACAUAAUGCAGGAAUCCAUCUGUGCCCAGUUGAUCACCGAGGACGAGGGCUUGGCUCGGCUGGCCCACACGGUGCAGGUCUUGGUGGACCUCGCGCCGACUGCUGCCAGCCACCGCCGCGCUAGCAGACCGGAGCCUCUAGGGGCGGACAGCUAAGCACUGCUCCAUCCUUCUCUUAGCUCCAUGUCGUCCACUGAUUUUGCUGUCAUCCAAAGGUCCAAAAUGGAGUAAGCCGGAGGCGUCGAGUGCUGUUUCCCCUCCGACCCCGAGGAAGGGCUGGACCAGGAGGUCCCGCGCCCUUAUUCCCGAUUACGGAAGAACCUUAGUUUAUAUAUGAUUUCCCUUUUUGUGACUGGACUUACAAUAAAACCCGU